rnacentral:lncRNA from 1 species
UAGGUCCUUCAGGGACACUUCAAAGUUUGAGAAUCACUGCUGUAAGUAACCAAAUAAUUUCAUUUGUGAAACAAAUAUCUGUGAAAUGAAGCUCCUAAUGACAUAAAAAGGACACUCUGUCCACCUUUUUACCUUAUUCCCAAAUUUAAAUAAUUUGUCUGAUGUUAUGUUUGCUCUUUUGUUUUUCAAAUACUCUAUCAACUUAAGGCAGUUUUCAUCUAUUUCUCAUUUCCUUUUUUCUAUUUUUUAAUCAAAAAUAAUUUUUCAGGGCUGGAGUUGUAGAGUGCUCGCCUUGCAUGUGGAAGACACUGGGUUCGAUCCUCAGCACCACAUAAAAAAAUAAAAUAAAGGUAUUGUGUUCAUCUACAACUAAAAAACAUUUUUUAAAAAAUGAUUUUUCAAUAUAUCCACCUAUUGAUAUGAUUAAAUACAAAUUGAGCCAUUCAAAUGUUCUUAAAAUAAUUUUGAUAUGGCAUGAUAUUUUAACACAUUGUUGUCUUCGAUAUGCUGGGUUUAUGAUUUUAAAAACUCUAUGAAUGGCAUCAAUAUUAGCGCAAACUGGGACAUGAUUUCUUUCUAUUUUACGAAGCAGUUUAAUUUUCAUGGACUUUAAAUCUAUUCCUUAUCUUUUUCUUUUGCAGUGCUGGGAAUCAAAUCCAGGGCAAGCACUCUACCACUGAGCUACAUCCCUGGCCUUCUAUUUGUCCUUUGAAAGCUUAAAGGGCUGUGAUAUCCAGCAGACCUAGUGUAGAUGAGACAGCCACAAUAUUGAGGAGAGAAGAGAUCUCAAACUACUCAAUUUCUUCUUCAUUCCUUAGUCUAGUUUCUGAUUAAAAAAAAAAGUUUUCAAGGCAGUCCAUUGAAUUAGUCAAAGGGAAACAAAAGGAAGGGAGGGGUCGGGGAAUAGGAAGGACAGUAUAAGUAAGGGGACAUAACUUUCCUAGCCUUGUAUUUGAACACACAACCAGGGUUACCCAUGUAUAACCAUAAGAUAGGGAUCCUAAUUAGAAUAAGUUAUACUCCACGUAUGUAUAAUAUGCCAAAAUACAUUCUACUGUCAUGCAUGUAGGAAAAGAACAAAUAAAAUUAAUUUUUUUUUAAAAAAAGCUUUUUCAAGUCAAAGUUGGAAACUUACUUUUCCUAGAUCCGCAGUUGCUGAGUCACUCAGCAAGCACAUUACUGCAAUUUAGAGAAAAAAAAUUUUUUCUCAUCAGAUCUGACAAAAUUAAAUUAAAAGUCUGGUGUUGGUGAAGCUGUAGGAAAAGGGUUUUCCUGAUUCUGUAAAUUG